GAUCCACCUGCCUCAGCCUCCCAAAGUAAUGGGAUUACAGGUGUGAGCCACCGUGCCCCACUGUAUUUAAUAGCUUUAAUAACUUGUUGGCCAACAAUACAACUGCUAAGUUGAUACACCAAACGAUGGAACUAGAAAAUUAUAAAAUAUUAGAAUUAUAUCUACCUGUUUUUAUAAUUCUAGGUCAUCUAGUCUAAUUUACAUAUUUACAGGUAUGGAAUUGUGUCUCAGAGGAUUUAAGUACUUUAUUUGCAAUUAUAUAGAUGUUCAUUUAUACUUCAAAAUACUGCUACUACCUUACUUUUGCAAUGCCUAAAGAUAGCAUUUGACUGGUACUACUGCCUCUCCCUAUUUGUCAUAAGGAAAGAGGAAGAUUCGAUCCCACCCAUUUUAGGCAUUUGUGGUUAUAUACAGUGACGAUCUUUCUCUCUCAGUGUCCAUAUGUAACACAUUACUCCUUUAGUUCCUAUAAUCAACUUGAGGAACAUUUAUUAUGAACCCAAUACUGAACUAAAGCCUUGGUCUUUGCUGAACUGAACUGAGAAGUACAUAUUUGGUUAAGUAAUUUUAUUGUGGCUUUUCUAAAAUGGAAACAUAAUAAUUGUAUAUAUUCACGGAGUCUAUAGUGAUGUUUCAAUAUAUUUAGGUUGGUGCAAAAGUAAUUGCGGUUUUGGGCCAUGAAUUUUAGAUCAUUAUAACUAGGCUGAAACACAUCUUUAUUAAUCAAAAUUGGAACCACUACAAUCAACACAUUUUUGCUAACAAGAAAUAAGUUUGUUUAUUCCUGUAACAUAAAAAUCCAUGCUUCGGGAUUCGACAAACUCUUGGAAAGCAUUUUCUGCAUCCUGCUGAUUGUGGAAGUGUUUUCCCUGCAAAAUGUUGUUGAGAUGCUUAAAGAAAUGGCAGUAGGUUGGGAAGAGGUCAGUUGAAUAUGGCGAAUGAGGCAAAACUUUGUAGCCCAAUUCAUUCAACUUUUGAGGCAUUGGUUGUGUGACGUGUGAUUGGGUGUUGUGGAGAAGAAUUGGGCCCUUUCUCUUGACCAGUGCUGGCUACUGGCAUUGCAAUUUCAGUGCAUCUCAUGGAUAUGCUGAGCAUACUUAUUAGAUGUAAUGGUUUCACUGGGAUUCAGAAAGUUGUAGUGGAUCAGACCAGCAGCAGACAACCAGUGACCAUGACCUUUUUGGUGCAAAUUUCGCUUUGGGAAGUGCUUUGGAGCUUCUUCUUGGUCCAAGCACUGAGCUGGUCAUCACCAGU